rnacentral:rRNA from 1 species
GAUGAACGCUGGCGGCGUGCCUAAUACAUGCAAGUCGAGCGAACGGACGAGAAGCUUGCUUCUCUGAUGUUAGCGGCGGACGGGUGAGUAACACGUGGAUAACCUACCUAUAAGACUGGGAUAACUUCGGGAAACCGUAGCUAAUACCGGAUAAUAUUUUGAACCGCAUGGUUCAAAAGUGAAAGACGGUCUUGCUGUCACUUAUAGAUGGAUCCGCGCUGCAUUAGCUAGUUGGUAAGGUAACGGCUUACCAAGGCAACGAUGCAUAGCCGACCUGAGAGGGUGAUCGGCCACACUGGAACUGAGACACGGUCCAGACUCCUACGGGAGGCAGCAGUAGGGAAUCUUCCGCAAUGGGCGAAAGCCUGGCGGAGCAACGCCGCGUGAGUGAUGAAGGUCUUCGGAUCGUAAAACUCUGUUAUUAGGGAAGAACAUAUGUGGAAGUAACUGUGCACAUCUUGACGGUACCUAAUCAGAAAGCCACGGCUAACUACGUG